UCAUAAAAAAAGAAGGGGACUGCCACCACCGCCAGUGACCGCGACCACCGUCAGCGACUAUAAAACCACUGAUGAUCGCCGCUAUCUUCUCUAUCAUCGGAUCUAACCAUAUCUGAUGUAGAUCUGAGUAUUUGGUGUAAUUUGAGAAAGUUUUUUGUUAUUAUUUCACCAUGUCAUCGUUGGAUUCACAUCAGAUCUGAUCUCCUAUCAUUGUUGUGGUUACUGGAGCAUCACAAAUCACAAUCACAAUCACAACUUACAGUUGCUAAUGUUAGAUUUGGUGAUUAUAUGUGUGGUGUAUCUCACAGUGAGGACGACGGUUCCACCACCGCAUUAGAUCUGGUCUAUGGUGAUGGUGUUUACAAAAAAAUUCUGCAAAAAAGGAUGCACACAAGGUGCUUGAUGAAAUUCCUCAAUGAAAUUAGAUCUUCUGUUUUAUGGUGAAUAUGGAUAUGAUGUAUAUGGUGAACAUUAUGUGUUUGAUGAAAUGCUUCAACGAAAUUCAAUCUGAUUUGCAAGAAAAGAUGGUUGCGAUGUUGGCAGAGGUGGUUGGUAGCAGCGUGUGGUGGUGAUGGUGGUGGUGGUAGAGUUUGGGUUUGACUUCUUUAAAUUUGUGAAUUAGUGUAAAAUAGACUGUAUUAAGUUGUGAAUUUUGUCUAUUUAAUACAGUCUAUUAAACUGUAAAUGGACUGUAUAAAUUUGCAUUUUA